CCUACGGAGGGCAGCAGUGGGGAAUAUUGGGCAAUGGGCGCGAGCCUGACCCAGCAACGCCGCGUGAAGGAAGAAGGCUUUCGGGUUGUAAACUUCUUUUCUCAGGGACGAAGCAAGUGACGGUACCUGAGGAAUAAGCCACGGCUAACUACGUGCCAGCAGCCGCGGUAAUACGGAGGUGGCAAGCGUUAUCCGGAUUUAUUGGGUGGAAAGGGCGUGUAGGCGGGAAAGCAAGUCAGAUGUGAAAACUCAGGGCUAAACCCUGAGCCUGCAUUUGAAACUGUUUUUCUUGAGUGCUGGGGAGGCAAUCGGAAUUCCGUGUGUAGCGGGGAAAUGCGUAGAUAUACGGAGGAACACCAGUGGCGAAGGCGGAUUGCUGGACAGUAACUGACGCUGAGGCGCGAAAGCGUGGGGAGCAAACAGGAUUAGAUACCCGAGUAGUC
rnacentral:rRNA from 1 species